AAAUAUGAAAUUUGGUAGAAAUACCAAAAAUACCCUUCAGUGGCAAGUUACCGUGCAAUUCAAUCCUUUAAUCAAACUGCAUCCCAAAUAUAUAUAUGAGUAUGAAUAUAUGUCAAACUCAAUUUCAUAUCCAAAUUUUUCUCAAUCUUUUAAUGAUAAUUCAAAUAAUGAAACAUUAGAAACUCUUUCUAAUUUUCAUUCUGCUUUGAUCAAAGGCUUCCUGAAUUAUCAUAUAAUUAGAAUAAAUAGGAUACUUUCUUCUCUUACUAGAAGUGAUUAAUUCCUUGUUUACCUACUUAUAAUCUUCGUACACAAUUCACCAUAUCCAGAAGACCUCGUGCACAACUUAUUGUCAUGAAUGAGUGUAAA
rnacentral:lncRNA from 1 species